CCUACGGGAGACAGCAGUGGGGAAUAUUGCACAAUGGGGGAAACCCUGAUGCAGCGACGCCGCGUGAGUGAAGAAGUAUUUCGGUACGUAAAGCUCUAUCAGCAGGGAAGAAAAUGACGGUACCUGACUAAGAAGCCCCGGCUAACUACGUGCCAGCAGCCGCGGUAAUACGUAGGGGGCAAGCGUUAUCCGGAUUUACUGGGUGUAAAGGGAGCGUAGACGGCAGCGCAAGUCUGGGGUGAAAUCCCAUGGCUUAACCAUGGAACUGCUUUGGAAACUGUGCAGCUAGAGUGCAGGAGAGGUAAGCGGAAUUCCUAGUGUAGCGGUGAAAUGCGUAGAUAUUAGGAGGAACACCAGUGGCGAAGGCGGCUUACUGGACUGUAACUGACGUUGAGGCUCGAAAGCGUGGGGAGCAAACAGGAUUAGAUACCCUUGUAGUC
rnacentral:rRNA from 1 species